rnacentral:lncRNA from 1 species
CAAUUUGUGACUGAAAAACGGGCGACAGCCCGUCUUCUGCGCUCCCCGGUCACUGCAGACCUGCUCGGUCCCAAAAGUGCACGAGGGAUAACUGACUGACCGGUGUUGGGGCAGUGCAGCGCAACGGAUGUCUACCAGUUACUUCAUUUCCAUGAGUUGCUUUCUUCUGACUAAGUUCAAAGUAAACUACAGUGUUUUUCCUGUGAAGACUUCAUUAUAUAUGACAAUGUAAUUCAUCAAAGAUUCCAGUGACUAGAAUGAAAAUGCAGACCAUCAGUGCAGAGCAAAUGCAUGAAGAUCUCUGAUGCACAGCAGAGCAAGUUUUGCAGAAGUCCUUAUGAAUCACUGAUACAUCUCAUAUGGGAGAGAAAAAAAAAAGAGGAAAUGGCCUCCCCGAGUCAAAACAUCAAUAGUUUCAUCCUCUGAUCUGAAUCAAUUUCUACAGAGACAAGGAUUCAAGGAUCCCAAAGUCUUUCAGAAGCAUGAAUAAAUUAAACAUCACAACAAGAGAUAAAUGAUGU